UAUUACACGAAUAAAUUUCAGAUUUACUACUUUAGAAGUAGAUUUCGAAAUAACUCUUCUCAGUUAUUCUGCCUCAUUCGGAGGUGAGUUGUGAUACCAUCACAAUCAAGUGCACGUUUGCAUUAAUAAGCUUCUCAUUCCCCAGGAAUGAAAUAUAAUCAUGCCUUAAGCGUAUCAAAUUAUGAUAGCUACUACAAAAGCAAAUUGAGGCAUACAUAUGAUUUAUUGCUACCACAUUCAAUUCAGGGAAUAGAGCAUAUCAAUGGGAUAUAUUUCAUGACUUUUCAUCAAAUACCCAUUAUUUUGCCUUAACCAUCAUAAUAUUAUCAAUACAUGCAUUGAGAUCCAAUCUCAACGUCUUAUCCAUAUAAAG
rnacentral:lncRNA from 1 species